AUUCACUUGACGAGUCUCAAAUAGGACGAAACACGCGUCCUGGAU
rnacentral:hammerhead_ribozyme from 1 species